rnacentral:ncRNA from 1 species
GCCAUCCUUUUCUUGGGGCUAGGUUACUGCCCAGUGAGCACAUGGUGAGGGCAGAGCUGCUGACACCGACACAAAAUUCCUGCAUCAGCUACAGCUUUGCUUUACCUUGGCACAGUUUCUGGAAAA